GGGGGUGCCCGGUUUUGACAGCAGGCAGAGUUUGAUUGUAAGCACGCCGAGCGCUGUGCGGCAGCUCGUAAAUAUCGACGCUCGAACUACAAAUGGCAAUAACAGCUAUGCACUCGCUGCCUAAUUUUCAAGGAAAAUUGGCUUAAUCGCCGCGGCCGAGGCGCCGCAGCGACGAGUAUCCCGGAGGAGGGUUCCGCUCCCUAAUCUUCUUCCAUACGGGGUAUCAUCGAUUCGGAGAUAGUGCGCCGGAGCGUUCCGGCCGGUGCGCGAAAUUCAAGGAACUGGGAUCCGGGUUCGGCCGUCGCCUGCCAGACCCGGAUAGAAGGAUCAAACGGCGACUAAGCGUGUAGAAAGCUUUCGGGUUCCUUGUUUGGACGCGGGUUCGACUCCCGCCACCUCCACUU
rnacentral:tmRNA from 1 species